UGGAUUUUAUAAAUUAAAAGUGAUAAAAUCAUAUUCUAUUUGAUACAUGCAAAGGUUGGAAAACAUGGCAAAAAUUGUCAAAUUUGUUUAUGUUAUGAUUAUCCUUCUUUCUCUAUUUCUUGUUGCGACAAAUUCUAAACGGAAUAUUCCAUGUGUUUAUGAUGGUGAUUGUCCAAUAAAAUUGUGCCGAUAUCCUUUAAAAGCGAAGUGUCUUGGUGGUAUUUGUCACUGUCGUUAAUUAUGAAGCUCCAUAGAUUAUGAGUGGCAGAUCCAGAAGAAUACAUAAACACACUGCUAGCAUAUUUCAUUAGUUGUUAUGUAGUUAUUGUGAUAGCACCCAAUAAUUUAAUUUUCUUUGUUAGUUUUGUACUUUAGGAUGAUAAAAUUGAAAUGAAAUAAAGCAUCAAAGAAUAUUAUCUUAA